rnacentral:rRNA from 1 species
GACGAACGCUGGCGGCGUGCUUAACACAUGCAAGUCGAACGAAGAGCGACGGAAGCUUGCUUCUAUCAAUCUUAGUGGCGAACGGGUGAGUAACGCGUAAUCAACCUGCCCUUCAGAGGGGGACAACAGUUGGAAACGACUGCUAAUACCGCAUACGAUCUAACCUCGGCAUCGAGGAUAGAUGAAAGGUGGCCUCUACAUGUAAGCUAUCACUGAAGGAGGGGAUUGCGUCUGAUUAGCUAGUUGGAGGGGUAACGGCCCACCAAGGCGAUGAUCAGUAGCCGGUCUGAGAGGAUGAACGGCCACAUUGGGACUGAGACACGGCCCAGACUCCUACGGGAGGCAGCAGUGGGGAAUCUUCCGCAAUGGACGAAAGUCUGACGGAGCAGCGCCGCGUGAGUGAUGACGGCCUUCGGGUUGUAAAGCUCUGUUAAUCGGGACGAAAGGCCUUCUUGCGAAUAGUGAGAAGGAUUGACGGUACCGGAAUAGAAAGCCACGGCUAACUACGUG